rnacentral:rRNA from 1 species
UACGAGGGGGGCGAGCGUUGUUCGGAAUUAUUGGGCGUAAAGCGCCUGUAGGUGGCUUUUUAAGUCCGCCGUCAUAUCCCAGGGCUCAACCUUGGAACUGCCUUUGAAACUCCUGGUCUUGAGGUCGAGAGAGGUGAGUGGAAUUCCGAGUGUAGAGGUGAAAUUCGUAGAUAUUCGGAGGAACACCAGUGGCGAAGGCGGCUCACUGGCUCGAUACUGACGCUGAGGUGCGAAAGCGUGGGGAGCAAACAGG